CCAGACUCCUACGGGAGGCAGCAGUGAGGAAUAUUGGUCAAUGGGCGAGAGCCUGAACCAGCCAAGUCGCGUGAGGGAUGACUGCCCUAUGGGUUGUAAACCUCUUUUGUAUGGGGGGAAUAAGCUUUACGAGUAGAGUGAUGACAGUACCAUACGAAUAAGCAUCGGCUAACUACGUGCCAGCAGCCGCGGUAAUACGUAGGUGGCAAGCGUUAUCCGGAUUUACUGGGUGUAAAGGGCGUGUAGGCGGGACUGCAAGUCAGAUGUGAAAAUUAUGGGCUCAACCCAUAACCUGCAUUUGAAACUGUAGUUCUUGAGUGAUGGAGAGGCAGGCGGAAUUCCGUGUGUAGCGGUGAAAUGCGUAGAUAUACGGAGGAACACCAGUGGCGAAGGCGGCCUGCUGGACAUUAACUGACGCUGAGGCGCGAAAGCGUGGGGAGCAAACAGGAUUAGAUACCCCGGUAU
rnacentral:rRNA from 1 species